GUCUUAUAUAUUUGGAUAAGGAGAAGUCAGGAAGCUCAUCCUUCUCAAAUUCAGUCAUUAAUUACUUGUUCCUCUAACGAUAUGAUUGCUUCAAUUCCAUCCCCACUUUUACUAUCCAUCAAAAUAAAUGAGUUCGGUACAAGUGGCCUCCCCCAUCCAAAGUCCACAUUGUACGUCGGGUAAUAACAAAACCUGCUUGUUUCUCUAUUGCUCCAGUUUUUGCGUUGAGGGUCUUUCGGAAGCAGCUUCUCUACCUUGAUAAUUAGGGGAAUCAUCCGGAGUCAAUUUGGGACGAAGGUGCGUGAAUUGAAGCGAAAAUGAGAAGAAAAUGGAAAAGUGCACAUUGUAGUGCCACAAGCAGUGUGGGAGGCUACCUGUGGCGCACAAAACAGAAUGCUAUAAAACCAAGUGCCAGGGCUAGCGCUCCACGCUACCCUGGGCGCUAGUGACGUGAAAUUGUCCUAUUUCACCUAGGACUCGGUUAUUUCUUACCCCCAAGACGCCCCCAGCUCAUAUAAAAGCAAAUCUAAACCUAUUUUGGCAAGGGAGACACUACUUUGAGAGAGGAACAUAAGUACGAAACAUUCGGGAGCAUGGAUUUGAUCAAUUCUUCCAUUCUAGUAUUCAUAGCUUUUAUGUUUGAAAACAUUAUUUUGAUGAUUGUUAUGAAUAUGAGUGGCUAAGAACCUUAUUAUUCUGGGGUGAUGGGUAUUACAUGAAUGUUGACGUUUGAUGUUUAAAUUGACGAGUUUGAUUUUAUCA